rnacentral:sRNA from 1 species
ACUGCCAAGGAGGGCAGUGGUUUCAAGCAGAAGCAAGUUUGCUCUUGCAAACUUGUAGCCCAAAAAUGAACAGGGAUGUUCAUUUUUGGGCGUGC